rnacentral:RNase_P_RNA from 1 species
UAAGUAAAUCGCCUUAUCGCACAGGCAUUUUGUUUGUGAGGAAAGUCUGGACACCGUAGUGCAAUAUAGUGGUUAACAGCCACCAGCCGUGAGGUUAGGAAAAGUGCAACAGAAAGUAUGUACAGGUCAUGCUGUAGUGAAACCAGGUAAACUCUAUGUGGUGCAAUGUCAUGUAAACUAGCGUUUGAGCGUGCACGCGCGAGCUAGAGGGUAGGCAGCUAAAGUGUGUUGGUAACAACUCAUGUAGAUAAAUGAUAAGGGCUCGAAAGAGUACAGAAUCCGGCUUAUAGGUUUACUUAAAUA